AAGUUACGGUGCUUAUUAAGCAUUUUAAAACCAAAGGUCCAGGCUGAGAUAGACGGAGUGAUUGGAGAGUCCAGACCGCCGUCCAGACAAGGAGGGGAAGUUUGUGAAGCGAGCUGCUUUCAUCCCAUUUUCUGCUGGGUUCCUUUUCAGUAAUGGGAACUCGUGGAAGCAACAGAGACGCUUCGCACUUUCAACCCUUCGUAAUUUGGGAUUUGGCAAGAAGUCCAUUGAAGCAGUCAUCUUGGAUGAAUUCACAUAUUGCGCAAAAGUCUUCAAAAGCUGUGGGGGAAACUUCUGUGUAGCAAUGCAUUGGGAGUCACCGACUCAGGAAGGAGACACGGUGAGAGUUGG